rnacentral:tRNA from 1 species
GGGGAUUUAGCUCAGUGGUAGAGCGCUUGCCUAGCAAGCACAAGGCCCUGUGUUUAGUCCCCA